rnacentral:rRNA from 1 species
UUGUGGGGUUNGCCACCANGNCAACGACGGGUAGCUCGGCCUGANAGGUGACCGGCCACACUGGGACUGAGACACGGCCCAGACUCCUACGGGAGGCAGCAGUGGGGAAUAUUGGACAAUGGGCGAAAGCCUGAUCCAGCAACGCCGCGUGAGGGAUGACGGCCUUCGGGUUGUAAACCUCUUUCAGCAGGGACGAAGGCAAGUGACGGUACCUGCAGAAGAAGCACCGGCCAACUACGUGCCAGCAGCCGCGGUAAUACGUAGGGUGCGAGCGUUGUCCGGAAUUAUUGGGCGUAAAGGGCUCGUAGGCGGUCUGUCACGUCGGGAGUGAAAACUCAGGGCUUAACCCUGAGCCUGCUCCCGAUACGGGCAGACUAGAGGUAUGCAGGGGAGAACGGAAUUCCUGGUGUAGCGGUGAAAUGCGCAGAUAUCAGGAGGAACACCGGUGGCGAAGGCGGUUCUCUGGGCAUUACCUGACGCUGAGGAGCGAAAGUGUGGGGAGCGAACAGGAUUAGAUACCCUGGUAGUCCACACCGUAAACGUUGGGCGCUAGGUGUGGGACUCAUU